GGCACUUUUAAAAAAUCCAUAUCCACCUUGUGUGCAAUGUCAUCUCACUGGAGGUCAGCGGCUGUAAAAAGCCGUUUGGUCACCUUUGGGAUUUAUAUCUACUCAGAACUUUAGUGAUUUUGUCUGAAAAAUAUUAUGAAUAACUUAAUUCAAAAUACAACUUUCAACAACGGAUCUCUUGGCUCUCGCAUCGAUGAAGAACGCAGCGAAAUGCGAUACGUAAUGUGAAUUGCAGAAUUCAGUGAAUCAUCGAAUCUUUGAACGCAUAUUGCGCUCUCUGGUAUUCCGGAGAGCAUGCUUGUUUGAGUAUCAGUAAACACCUCAACUCCCUUUUCUUUUUUGAAAUGGGAGCUGGACUUGAGUGAUCCCAACACUUUUCUCACUGGAAAGUGGCGGGUCACUUGAAAUGCAGGUGCAGCUGGACUUUUCUCUGAGCUAUAAGCAUAUCUAUUUAGUCUGCCUAAAAAACAGAUUAUUACCUUUGCUGCAGCUAACAUAAAGGAGAUGAGUUCUUGUGCUGACUGAUGCAGGAUUCACAGAGACAGCUUUGCGGCUGACUUUGUAAACUCGAUCUCAAAUCAAGUAAGACUACCCGCUGAACUUAAGCAUAUCAAUAAGCGGAGGAAAAGAAACUAACAAGGAUUCCCCUAGUAACGGCGAGUGAAGCGGGAUGAGCUCAAAUUUAAAAUCUGGCUGGUUUACUAGUCCGAAUUGUAGUUUAAAGAAGCGUUUUCGGUGGCAGCCUGGGUAUAAAUCCUUUGGAACAGGGUAUCAUAGAGGGUGAGAAUCCCGUCUUUGACUCAGUGCAUGCUACUAUGUGAUACGUUUUCAAAGAGUCGAGUUGUUUGGGAAUGCAGCUC
rnacentral:rRNA from 1 species